GGUGAAGCGCACGUGGCAGCAGCUGAAGAUGAAAUAUAAAAACAUUGUUCAAACAGCCAACAGAAAGAAAGGAGAUGCCUGUAAAAAGGGAGGUGGCCCAGCACCACCACCUGUAACGGAGGCAGAGGAGCUGGUCCUAAGCCAGAAUUUGGGAAGGCCAGUGGCUGAGGGAAUCCCUGGAGGGAGCUCAUCCUCUGAGACCACAUCCCAAGACACAAGUGCUUUUAUAAAAUAUUCUGAUGGUACUAUCUGCCUGGUGGAGCCCCUUCACGCCACAACAGACCUUGUAACUGUAAGUAGGCAAUACUCCAAAGAUUUUGCCAAAUGGUAGUUUAAGUCCACUGAAACAUAUCACUCAUCUAGGAUGAAGAGGAUGAAACUGUGUCUGCUGCCUUUACAGAGGGGGAUCCAGAAAGGCAUACAGAGGUAUGUUAGUGAUAGUUCUCUUCCCAUUCACAUUUCUGAACAUUCUGGUGGAAUAUAGACUGGCAUUUAGCCUACACUGAAGU